rnacentral:rRNA from 1 species
GACGAACGCUGGCGGCGUGCCUAAUACAUGCAAGUAGAACGCUGAAGAGAGGAGCUUGCUCUUCUUGGAUGAGUUGCGAACGGGUGAGUAACGCGUAGGUAACCUGCCUUGUAGCGGGGGAUAACUAUUGGAAACGAUAGCUAAUACCGCAUAACAAUGGAUGACACAUGUCAUUUAUUUGAAAGGGGCAAUUGCUCCACUACAAGAUGGACCUGCGUUGUAUUAGCUAGUAGGUGAGGUAAUGGCUCACCUAGGCGACGAUACAUAGCCGACCUGAGAGGGUGAUCGGCCACACUGGGACUGAGACACGGCCCAGACUCCUACGGGAGGCAGCAGUAGGGAAUCUUCGGCAAUAGGGGCAACCCUGACCGAGCAACGCCGCGUGAGUGAAGAAGGUUUUCGGAUCGUAAAGCUCUGUUGUAAGUCAAGAACGGGCGUGAGAGUGGAAAGUUCACACUGUGACGGUAGCUUACCAGAAAGGGACGGCUAACUACGUG